AUGAACUCUGGCGGCGUGCCUCAUACAUGCAAGUCGAGCGAACAGAUGAGGAGCUUGCUCCUCUGACGUUAGCGGCGGACGGGUGAGUAACACGUGGAUAACCUACCUAUAAGACUGGGAUAACUUCGGGAAACCGGAGCUAAUACCGGAUAAUAUAUUGAACCGCAUGGUUCAAUAGUGAAAGACGGUUUUGCUGUCACUUAUAGAUGGAUCCGCGCCGCAUUAGCUAGUUGGUAAGGUAACGGCUUACCAAGGCAACGAUGCGUAGCCGACCUGAGAGGGUGAUCGGCCACACUGGAACUGAGACACGGUCCAGACUCCUACGGGAGGCAGCAGUAGGGAAUCUUCCGCAAUGGGCGAAAGCCUGACGGAGCAACGCCGCGUGAGUGAUGAAGGUCUUCGGAUCGUAAAACUCUGUUAUUAGGGAAGAACAAAUGUGUAAGUAACUAUGCACGUCUUGACGGUACCUAAUCAGAAAGCCACGGCUAACUACGUG
rnacentral:rRNA from 1 species